rnacentral:lncRNA from 1 species
UGAAUUUUGUCAUUCAGACAAUGGAAAGCCUUUUGUGUAUAUAUACUGUUUUGAGAUUAUUAUAAACAGACACAAAAAAUAAAAAGCAUGUGUAAAGUAGAAAUUAACAGUGCCACAUUAAUAACACAUUUAAAGUUUAAUAAAUUAAAGUGACACAAUUAAAGUGUUCCAAUUUAGAGAAAGGAACCAAAUCAUGCAUAAUGGACAUCAUUUUGGGAAAUAUUGCUAUUAUCUAAAUAAGAAAUAGUGAAUGCUUGAUGGGGCAGAGAAAACUUCAUGAUUUUAGGAACAUUAAAGAGGUACUUUUGGUAAUAUUUGAUGGAUAUUUGAACAAGCAAAUUAAGUAAAUGGCAAAAUACAAACAAGACUAACAAAACCUGAAAUCCAAAGGCAAAAACUGAUGCUUCUGGACUAACAGUGGGAUUAUGUCCUGAAAGCUAAUAUAUCCCACUUAGGAACAUGUUACACUGUAGAAUAUCUUUUGUUUCCCCCCAGGAACACUUGGAUGACUAGGAAUUGGUGGUUUCUGCUUCUGCCCAGCAUUGAUAGAGUUUAUCAUAUUGCAUAGUUCCAAGCUGGGAAAAGACUAUCUUAAAAUUUGAAGGAUGAUUUUGACGGAAUAUGUAGACUUUUUGCAUCAUCUUUCAGUAAAAAAUAAAUAAAUAAAUCCAAAGAUGAAUCAUCGUUAAUUAAAGAAUCAUCUCUAGAGUAUUUUGCAUUGAUUCAGAACAGAAUUCUUGUAGUUAAAUUAUGAAAAUGAAGGAUCAAGACCAACCACACAUUUAUGUAAUCCUACUAAGUGUUUCUUUGAAAGAAUCAGAUUCAUUUAGAGUGACCAGUCAUGUAAUAAGGAAACUGUUUCAGCAAUGAUCCUCCGAGAAACCCUAACAAAUCCUUAGAUGGAGAUACCACCUUCUCUUUUCAGGAAUUUUAAGGACAAC